ACGGGUUAUAUAUUUAGUAGUUUUGUUUUCAUUUAGGGUCUGUUUGAUUGACGGAAUUGAUUUUCCGGAAAAUCAUUUUCAACUUUUCCGGUGUUUGUUUGGUUGAAAACAUUUUCUAUUUGGAAAAUCAGCUCCAAAACACGGGUAAAAUGCCUUACAAUUUAGGGAAAAUGUCUUCCCCUUUCAAUUUCCGUAAGACAGUUUACUGGCUUUCCUCUCUAUCGAUUUUUUCGGUCCCUCCUUCUUCAUUCCUUCAUUUCUGUUAGAAAACUUCCCUGAGAUUCUCAUAUUUUUCCAGUAACCCCCCCACUCUCCUCCUUCAUCCUUUCAUUCCUUCAUUCCUCUCUGUCGAUUAUCGCCGUAGUUUUCUGUGGGCUCGAACUCGUAUUGGAACCUAGACGAAUGGAUAUCGCAGCUGCUGCAGUGCAAGCCUUUGUCGGAGCAGUAGGUAACGGAUCUGUUUUGAAUUUCUUCAUUUGCGGUUUGAUCCAUUUUUUGUUUAGUAUUUUCUCUGUAUGGGGUCAGAUCUAUUUUUUUCCACCGAUCCAUUUUUUUUAGGAAGGAAAUUUCUUCAUUUUGCCACCGAUCCAUUUUUUGUUUAGUAUUUUCUCUAUAUGGGGUCAGAUAUUUUAUCGAAGACUUGUAAUAAUAUUCAAUGAGAUAAUUCUUUUGACAUGUGUUGUCCUAGUUUUGUUAUUCUAUUACAGUAAUUAAUUACAAGACAUGGACUGAAAUUGAUUUUCCUCUUACACCAUUUUCGAGUGCCUAGUAUCCUUCUAUCUGAAUUUCCCUUUUCAAAUGUAGGUGUUUUUGUUUAUUUUCUUUACCCCACACAUAUAGAUACGAGAUUAUGAUCCUCCAAAUCCUUCAAAUUGUAAGGGAAAAUGAAACAGUGAUAAGAUAUUUGUUAAAUUAUGUUUUUGUUCCACUUGCUUUCACUGAUAUUGAUUCGUUUGUUUGUUCGUUUGUUUGAAAAUCUGUUGCUUGUUUUCACUGAUAUUGAUCCAUUUUGUUCGUUCAUUUUCUCGUAUGCUAACCAUAUUUAAUUGACUAAAGAAUUGGUUUUUGAGACUAAAAAUUAAUAGCCUCAAAAUGUUCUUAGAGGGUAGAAAUGUUCUGAAUUUCUCGACAAGUUUGGCGAAGUCUAUGGGUAUCAGUUACCCUUUUUGUUGCGUUUGGUCACGCUUAGGCUUCUCACAAUAGGAAGUUUUACACAAGCCUUAUUUGUCUAACUCCUGAAUAAUAGAACGCUCUCUGUUAAAGAGCGAGAAGCUGUAAUUUGAGUUGUGAUAAAUCAAUUUCUUGCUUGCUGGAUUGAUCUUAUUUGGACAGUUAUUUUAGUGUAGUCAAGCACCAUAUUUAGGAGUCAAUGGCAAUACUGAGCUUGCAAAAGCCAACUUUCAUUGAGGCACAUGCAUUUUGUGUAGGCAUAGGUUCUUGCUGACACGGUUCUAAUUUCUUUCUAUGCUUGACCUCCAGCUAUACAAUUCUUGCUGUCCUAACCUCUACCUCAGCAUUUUUACUCCUGUUAGUGGCCUUGGUUGAUAGUUUCAUAAGAGGUUAGUGUUAAGCAUAUUUGGAAUGUCUUAUUUCUUGAUUCUGGUCUGCUAAUGGCAUGGCAUUUGUGGUUGUUAUAUGUUUGUGGUGCUUGAUAUAUGAUUUGGUAUAAUAUGCAUUUGUGGUUGUUAUAAUUCAGUUCAAGUGAAUUAAGCAUGGUUGUUGGAUGUGUUUGGGUAUGGUUUAUUAUUGAUUUAUUUUUACUGUAAUUUGUUUAUGUAUUAUUUGCAAAAUGGCAGUGAUGAACUAUUAUAUUUGGUUGAUGGUAGGUAAAUACAUAUGUGCCUACGUCAUGAAUUUUGGUAAUUUUGGCAUGAUUUAUAGCAUAUGGCAUCCGAAUGUAGACUGAUUUUCAAGUGAGCAAUGUAUGAUUAAUGUAUGAAUUGGCAUAUGUGCCUUUCUCUGGUUAGCACUUACUGAUCUGUUAGUAUUUGUUAACACUUAAUGAUCUGUUAGUAUUUGAUGCUAGAGAAAAGGGGUGAUGAAUGUUCAUUUGAUAUCUAGCAUAUUUGACUACAAAGGAAGGUCUUUAAGUAACAUCGAUGCCUCUGUUUCAUCAGAAUGAGCUCUUUGGCUUUUGUUUCAUCAGAAUGUUCAUUCGAUAUCUGGAAUUUGAGUCUGCCAUCCCCAUAUGGCUUUUGCCAACUUCCUUUGUUCAAUCUGUUUCAGUUUUUUGAGAAUAUUCUUAAUUAAAAAUUUGAAUGCUAAAGUUUGGUUUCAGUUAAUCAGAUGUUUUACACACAUUAAAAAGGUCUUGGAUUUUUCUUUUCGUUGAUAUUGUUAUAAACAGUUAAAUAACACUUUUCAUGCUUUGUGGUAACAAAAUCAUGCUGGACAUUUGAGUAAGUGGAGGCAUUUGCUUUUUUCAUGCUGAAAAUGG
rnacentral:lncRNA from 1 species